AGACCCGAAACCCGGUGAUCUAGCCAUGGGCAGGUUGAAGGUUGGGUAACACUAACUGGAGGACCGAACCGACUAAUGUUGAAAAAUUAGCGGAUGACCUGUGGCUGGGGGUGAAAGGCCAAUCAAACCGGGAGAUAGCUGGUUCUCCCCGAAAGCUAUUUAGGUAGCGCCUCGUGAAUUCAUCUCCGGGGGUAGAGCACUGUUUCGGCUAGGGGGCCAUCCCGGCUUACCAACCCGAUGCAAACUGCGAAUACCGGAGAAUGUUAUCACGGGAGACACACGGCGGGUGCUAACGUCCGUCGUGAAGAGGGAAACAACCCAGACCGCCAGCUAAGGUCCCAAAGUCAUGGUUAAGUGGGAAACGAUGUGGGAAGGCCCAGACAGCCAGGAUGUUGGCUUAGAAGCAGCCAUCAUUUAAAGAAAGCGUAAUAGCUCACUGGUCGAGUCGGCCUGCGCGGAAGAUGUAACGGGGCUAAACCAUGCACCGAAGCUGCGGCAGCGACGCUUAUGCGUUGUUGGGUAGGGGAGCGUUCUGUAAGCCUGCGAAGGUGGCCUGUGAGGGUUGCUGGAGGUAUCAGAAGUGCGAAUGCUGACAUAAGUAACGAUAAAGCGGGUGAAAAGCCCGCUCGCCGGAAGACCAAGGGUUCCUGUCCAACGUUAAUCGGGGCAGGGUGAGUCGACCCCUAAGGCGAGGCCGAAAGGCGUAGUCGAUGGGAAACGGGUUAAUAUUCCCGUACUUGGUGUUACUGCGAAGGGGGGACGGAGAAGGCUAUGUUGGCCGGGCGACGGUUGUCCCGGUUUAAGCGUGUAGGUGUGUGUUCCAGGUAAAUCCGGUUCACUUUAACACUGAGGCGUGAUGACGAGGCACUACGGUGCUGAAGCAACAAAUGCCCUGCUUCCAGGAAAAGCCUCUAAGCAUCAGGUAACAUCAAAUCGUACCCCAAACCGACACAGGUGGUCAGGUAGAGAAUACCAAGGCGCUUGAGAGAACUCGGGUGAAGGAACUAGGCAAAAUGGUGCCGUAACUUCGGGAGAAGGCACGCUGACAUGUAGGUGAAGUGAUUUACUCAUGGAGCUGAAGUCAGUCGAAGAUACCAGCUGGCUGCAACUGUUUAUUAAAAACACAGCACUGUGCAAACACGAAAGUGGACGUAUACGGUGUGACGCCUGCCCGGUGCCGGAAGGUUAAUUGAUGGGGUCAGCGCAAGCGAAGCUCCUGAUCGAAGCCCCGGUAAACGGCGGCCGUAACUAUAACGGUCCUAAGGUAGCGAAAUUCCUUGUCGGGUAAGUUCCGACCUGCACGAAUGGCGUAAUGAUGGCCAGGCUGUCUCCACCCGAGACUCAGUGAAAUUGAACUCGCUGUGAAGAUGCAGUGUACCCGCGGCAAGACGGAAAGACCCCGUGAACCUUUACUAUAGCUUGACACUGAACAUUGAGCCUUGAUGUGUAGGAUAGGUGGGAGGCUUUGAAGCGUGGACGCCAGUCUGC
rnacentral:rRNA from 1 species